UACGGAGGGUGCAAGCGUUAAUCGGAAUUACUGGGCGUAAAGAGUGCGUAGGUGGUUGAUUAAGUUAUCUGUGAAAUCCCUGGGCUUAACCUGGGCAGGUCAGAUGAUACUGAUUAACUCGAGUAUGGGAGAGGGUAGUGGAAUUUCCGGUGUAGCGGUGAAAUGCGUAGAGAUCGGAAGGAACACCUGUGGCGAAGGCGGCCGGCUGGGGGUGCCCUGACGCUGAGGCGCGAAAGCGUGGGGAGCGAACCGG
rnacentral:rRNA from 1 species